rnacentral:rRNA from 1 species
UUGGACUCAACGCCGGGCAGCUCACCGGAUAAGACAGCUGGAUGAUAGCCGGGCUGAAGACUCUGCUUGACUAGCUGAGAGGAGGUGCAUGGCCGUCGUCAGUUCGUACUGUGAAGCAUCCUGUUAAGUCAGGCAACGAGCGAGACCCACGCCAACAGUUGCCAGCAUGUCCUCCGGGAUGAUGGGGACACUGUUGGGACCGCCUCUGCUAAAGAGGAGGAAGGAAUGGGCAACGGUAGGUCAGCAUGCCCCGAAUUAUCCGGGCUACACGCAGGCUACAAUGGUCAGGACAAUGGGUAUCGACACCGAGAGGUGGAGGCAAUCUCCUAAACCUGUCCUUAGUUCGGAUUGUGGGCUGCAACUCGCCCACAUGAAGCUGGAAUCCGUAGUAAUCGCGUUUCAAAAUAGCGCGGUGAAUAUGUCCCUGCUCCUU